AGAAGAUAAGUGUUUGCUAAAGGCUCACCCUACGCCAGCUGUGUUUAUUUGUUGAACUCUAUCACCAUGUUCCUUGGCCCAAACACUGAAGGUCCUUUAGAUUCUUAGUUUAUUUAGUGCCUCUUUCAACACUCUAGUACUUUGACCCCAGUCUUAUCUGAAGGAAAGAGGAUUUCUGGUAAAUAGUCCACCCAGGCGAUCUGGAGUUAUUUUAGGGAUCAAGGCAGUGUCAUCUGGGGUAAAUAUGGAAUGCAAAAUCUGUUCUUGUAAUAAUCUCAUGCUAUUCUCUUUGAACCCCUGACUCAGCGAGCCCCAGUCCAAAAAGCAGAACUAGCUAUU
rnacentral:lncRNA from 1 species